UAUAGGAACCAACAUACAUAAUUGUUCCAAUAGCCUACGCACAACAACAUCAUAUUUUAUGAUAAUUAUGACUGUCUCUAGGAAUGAUAAUAGUAAAACAAUUUAAAGUUUUUUUUUUUGCAACCCACAAUUUAAAGCUAUAUCAAGAAAAGAAACACACCUAAUAUUUUUCUUGUAUGAAAGAGUUCCCGAUUUUUUAAGCAAUAUUUUUUUGUAACAAAAUUCAGGAGAGUAUCAUGUUACUAUCAUGUUAAUUAUCAACUUUGUCGGCGGGGUGGAACUGGGUUAGCUAAAAAAAUCCCUACGGGGAUUUCUGGCGAGGUGGCCCUUCGAGGUGAGCCCAGUCACUAUAAAAAGUUCAACCUAUACAGUUUCCCAA
rnacentral:lncRNA from 1 species